CCAACUGAAUCUCAGCAAAAAGCGAAAAAAACUCCAGGCUCAAGGUUCGGGAAGGAGAGACAAUGGAAAAGGAACUCAUUUGCAAGGUGCCCACCUUGGAACCCCAACACCCGACCAAAGGGCAGGAAAAACAAAGAAAGGAGAAGACAAAUGUCUCCAGACAGAGCUACACGUACAAAACAGCAAAAUUAUCGCCACACGAAAGGUUUCUAGCCACAGGUCUCCAUGACAACUGAGGAAGAGCACCCUAACAACAGCAAGAAGACGUCUUGCCAAAUAUGAAAAUGUGAUACCCAUCACCUAACACUCGCGUAAGAAAAACGAGGCUCCACACUGUGUACUUUUAAAAAUACAGCUUUUAUUCUGA